CAUUAGAUGGCUGAAAGUAAGCAAUGGUCUCUUAAACCAGUCAAUAGUAAAUUAACAUGUACUUCUAAUGA
rnacentral:tRNA from 1 species